AUUGAACGCUGGCGGAAUGCUUUACACGUGCAAGUCGAACGGCAGCACGGGGGCAACCCUGGUGGCGAGUGGCGAACGGGUGAGUAAUACAUCGGAACGUGCCCGGUCGUGGGGGAUAACGUAGCGAAAGUUACGCUAAUACCGCAUACGAUCUGAGGAUGAAAGCGGGGGACCUUCGGGCCUCGCGCGAUCGGAGCGGCCGAUGUCAGAUUAGGUAGUUGGUGGGGUAAAGGCCUACCAAGCCGACGAUCUGUAGCUGGUCUGAGAGGACGACCAGCCACGCUGGGACUGAGACACGGCCCAGACUCCUACGGGAGGCAGCAGUGGGGAAUUUUGGACAAUGGGCGCAAGCCUGAUCCAGCCAUUCCGCGUGCAGGACGAAGGCCUUCGGGUUGUAAACUGCUUUUGUAUGGAACGAAAAGGCUCUGGCUAAUACCUGGGGCUCAUGACGGUACCGUAAGAAUAAGCACCGGCUAACUACGUG
rnacentral:rRNA from 1 species